AAAAAGACACAAGAUAAAGCAAACAUCUGAGGAUCAUUCAGAGGACACAUCAGCCCAGGUAUCAAAGGACUAAAAAGGUCUUCUAUCCUGCAUCAUUCAGAGCUGAAAACACUCCAGACACAUAAAUGGCUGGUGGGGGAGACAAUCCAAUGCUAUUUUCAAGUGGUGGUGAAUAACAGAGACCAGGGACACAGGAUUUUUAUACUAGAUCACUACACAGCGAGUGUUAUACUUCAUGGAGAAUGAGAUGAAGUAUGGAGAAAGUGUCUCUCAAAGGUAAAGAUUAUCUUUAUCUUUAAUUAUCUUUAAUAACUGAAUUAAAUUCAAUUUUAUUUGUAUAGCGCUUUUAACAACGGACAUUGUCUCAAAGCAGCUUUACAGAAACAAACACAGCAUACAGAUUUUAAGUGUGUGAAUUUAUCCCUAAUAGUUUAAGACAGUUACAUAACAAUGAAACGUCAUAAGUGUUUUAUUUUAUUAAAAAAAUUAAAUUUCAGGUGGACUACACCUAAACCACGAGGGAAUGAUAAGUUUCCUGAAUGUCGAUGGGAAUCAUUGGAUAUUUUUGGUGAACACAUUUUAUAGUCCUUUUUUAAUAUACAUGAGACACUGUUAUAUUACUCUAUCCUAUAGAGGAUGUUCAUCAUUUCGUUGGCUUGAAAAAUCACAUUGGGUAAAUGUUCAGAUGAGCACGGACUAUUCAAACACCAACCAUCAAAAUUCAAAUAUAAACUAACCCAUAGCUGCCGGGGUUUCCUCCUGGUACUCCGGUUUCCUCCCCCAGUCCAAAGACAUGCAUGGUAGGCUGCUUGGUGUGUCCAAAGUGUCCGUAGUGUGUGAAUGGGUGUGUGAGUGUGUGUGUGAUUGUGCCCUGCGAUGGAUUGGCACCCUGUCCAGGGUGAACCCCGCCUUGUGCCCCAUGCUCCCUGGGAUAGACUCCAGGUUUCCCCGUGACCCUGAAAAGGAUAAAGCGGUAUAGAAGAUGGAUGGAUGGCUGGACUAACCUGUACAGGCCAUAUGCUUUUCACUGUGUCUACACCACACACAAGAGUCUGGAAUAGUUGAAUGAAUGAGUGAAUUCAUUAAUCCAUCCAUCCAUCCAUAAUUUUCAAACCAACCUCAAAGUUUUUCUAAAGUUUUUCCAAAGUUUCAUUCUAGUUUCAUCUUUUUUUUUUUUUUAUAUUGCACAGUAUCUCCAUGCAGCAUCCAGCCAGGUGUUUGUGGUAGACCCAGCAGGACGUGAUGAAGAAGCAAAAUCCAUGCAUUCAGCCACUAGAUUUCAGUAAUAUUUUUAGCUUGUUAUAUUCUGUACUUACACAGAUCAGUUACAAAUUAGAAAAAAAAAAGCAUGACUGUGUGAAGAGACCCACUUCUUUUUGAUGUGUUUUCUUGUCACGGGGUAUUGAACGGGGAAUGAUAUGCUGUGUCCUUGUGUCCUUCUCUAUCACCGGAUCUUUAGUAAAUUAAACAAAAAAUUAGAUUUUGGACCAAACUGUUAGCACUCUCCAGUAUCAUCUUGAAAAUGUAAAAAUUUAGAAAUAUAUUUUGAAAACAUGAUGUUCUAUCCCUCCUGUUGGUGUUCCAGAGACUUGGCAUAGCUCUUGCAGAUCUCUCGAUCCUUAAUGAUUAUUUUCGUAAGAAUAAAAUGACAGGCUUCGAGUCUUUUACAUUAUAAGUAUAUAGUAUACUAUACUAGUAUAAGUAUAAGUAUACUAGUCUUCUCAUAAGGUUUUUUUUAAAUGCUGUCAAAGCCUUACAAUAAUUUUACUUAUUAACUUUUACUAUAAGUAGCAAGCAAUUCACAAUAAUUGUUACGUGUAAAGUGAGUGAGAUAUGUAAAGACGAUAAUUACCAUAUACUACAUAUAUAGGAAAUGAGUAAUAAUAGUAAUAAUGUUUUAAUGCUUAAGGUUAUCCUGUCAAUCAUUUUGAUUUGCUUAACACACUUACUAAUAUAGUCAUGGAAAUAGUGAGCUCCUAGUGUGUUGGAAGAGAAGGGUAAAUACAAAUCUCUGAGCUGUUGUGAUAAGCGUUUCUGAUGACAAAACUGCUAAUGUAGGCUGUUAGCUUGCUACUGAUUGCAAGCAAGCUAAAAUUAGCAUAGCCUAAUACAGCUGGAACAUUACCUACACAGUUACACUAAGUGCUGAACAUCACUGUAGAAAAACUAGCUAUUUAAGAAGAACGUAAAGCUUAAGACGCGCUUGCCUCAUUUCGGUUGGGUUGGGUUUUUUCCUCUACUUCACAGCUCUUCACUUCACAUCGCGGUCCUGGAGCGAGGGUUAAAAUGUUCAACCACGCUGAAAGUGUCUACUGCUUUCCCCUGGGAAUCUGGGGUGAUUCACCUUUAAGCUAAUUUACAUCAAAUCUGUGAUUUGUUUGUGAUUUGAAAUUUUGGGGAUUUGUAUUUAUGGUGUUGGUAUUUGUAUUUUGUGGUGAGGAAGGAACCUUGAGAAGAACCAGACUCCAAAGGGAACCCGUCCUCAUCUGGGUGACACCGGAUAGUACGACUCUAAAUCAUUUCCUCUUAUAAACUGUGUGCUGUGGCGUCAAAAAGUGCUAAGUGUGUUAACAGGAACUCAUGUGCAUCUGAGCAACUUAUGAGUAUGAUCUUAGCAAUUGCAGGAAGGAAGAACAUCCACGGCCAUCUUUAUGGUUUCUACAUGGUACCAUUCACAGUAAUCUCAGGCUGUCCAUGUGGAGCAUGAUGGACAGAGGAUACUCCAGGGCUAGGACUGGGAACCUGUGGCUUAGUAAGUGUAGUGUAAUGGAAGUGAUCAUUAGGUGGCGAUCUACAACAGUUUAAAGACAGCGUGCCUCCAGGUGUUUGUCAUGAUAUGCAUUACUAUACAGUGAAUUAAACUUUGCUGGGUUUUUUUUUCUUCAUUCUAUAUUACAUAAUUCAGCUGUAAUUACUAAUAAUACGCACUCCCCGUCCAGUUUAUUAGGAACAUUAAUUAGCAACAUUUGUGGCAGCAGAGCACAUAAAAUCAUGCACUAAGAAAUCUUUCAUUUAAGAAGACUUUAUUGUACAACAUUCAUAACACAAUAACAUCAGGCCUUAACGCCAACACAAAACAACAAUAUUAUACGACUGUAUAAAUUCAACCUCAGUGUUAAUAGGCUUAUAGAAGGAAAUGUGCAGCACCACAGCACCCUCACGGUCCUCUUCUUUGAGUUCCCCAUGAUUAAUGUUCUAUUUUUUUAAUUAAACAUUACUUGUUUUUUUUUUUCCUUUUUUUGAGCAAUUGUAAAAUCAUUGUAAAUCUAACUCAGUACAUUUAGUAAAAUAUACCCUUUGGGCUUUUAUCCAGUAAA